UCUUGGGUGGUCCAACGGUUAAGAUUCCCGCUUGUCAAUUUACUUGCAUACGCGGGCGACCGGGGUUCGACUCCCCGCUCGAGAG